UACAGAGGGUGCGAGCGUUAAUCGGAAUUACUGGGCGUAAAGCGCACGUAGGCGGCUUGGUAUGUCGGGUGUGAAAUCCCCGGGCUCAACCUGGGAACUGCAUCCGAAACUGCCUUGCUCGAGUAUGGGAGAGGGAAGUGGAAUUCCCGGUGUAGCGGUGGAAUGCGUAGAGAUCGGGAAGAACAUCAGUGGCGAAGGCGGCCUGCUGGGCUGUUGCUGACGCUGAGGCGCGACAGCGUGGGGAGCAAACAGG
rnacentral:rRNA from 1 species